UACGUAGGGUGCAAGCGUUGUCCGGAAUUAUUGGGCGUAAAGAGCUCGUAGGCGGCUUGUUGCGUCUGCUGUGAAAAUCCGGGGCUCAACCCCGGACUUGCAGUGGGUACGGGCAGGCUAGAGUGUGGUAGGGGAGACUGGAAUUCUGGUGUAGCGGUGGAAUGCGCAGAUAUCAGGAGGAACACCGAUGGCGAAGGCAGGUCUCUGGGCCGAAACUGACGCUGAGGAGCGAAAGCGUGGGGAGCAAACAGG
rnacentral:rRNA from 1 species